rnacentral:tRNA from 1 species
GGCCUGAUGGUCUAGUAGUAUGAUUCCUUGUUAGGGUGUUAGCACAAUGUCGAGGAGGCCCUGGGUUCAAUUCCCAGUCAGGCCC